CAAUAUUUACUUUGGUGACUCGCGUGAAAUCUUCCCAGUUCAAAACUACAAAGAACAAAUGGUUCUCACCUCGCUCUUUAUCCACCUGAGUGAUAAUAAAGACGAUACCAGUAAUACAACAUGAUUAGCUCAUUCAACUGAAUGCUUUUCCAUCCAGGUCCGUCACCAGACAUUGGUGCCUGGGGGUAAUUCAGAAUAUUCUGGGUGGGCACUAAUUCUUAAUAAUGUUAAAGGGGAGAUUCUAAAUAAUAAGUCUAUCACUAUAGAUCUGAGGGUGUAACAUUGAUUUGUAAAGGAGCAGUUCCGUCUACUGUACCUACCCUUCAUUAGCGAUGCGCAUGUUUUCAUCUGACAAUAAUGCCUUUAAGUUCAAACAAAAUAGGUUGUUUAACGAUGGCGAGAAAAGGCGAAGCGCUGGAAACAGGUUUAAAGAACAGAUUGAGGCCGAAUGGUCAGUUUCUUGUAGUUUCAGAGUGCAGACACCGCUAGAAAUUGUUACUUAAAUUUUAUUAAAUCACGCCAUACUGUCUUAUAGAAAACGCAUCAGUUAGUAUACACAACAGCUU